ensembl:lncRNA novel transcript
AACUUUUGUUCACUAUACUGAGCUACAAUGAUAGUGGUUCUGCUCCCUGACAAAUACCGGGAUUCAGCUAAUCUCUGCAGCUUUGCCAGUCAGCUGAGCUAGGAUAGGAUUAACAUGCUCAUGUGUAAACUGAUGUGACCAACAAGGCCACAUGCUCCAGCAUGGAACUGAAGGAUAAUAGUUGCUUCUGCCUCAUAAGACUGAUGUGAGGAUAAAAUGAGAUGUGUAAAGUACUUUGCAGAUACAGUGCUUGAUAAAGUGCAGCUAUUAUUGUUGGAGGCAAGGCUGCUUACAGUCCGGGCCAAGUUUAUCUUCAGGCAAUUAUUAUUAUUAUUAUUUCUGAGACAGGGUCUCCCUCUGUUGCCCAGACUGGAGUGCAGUGGCACAAUCUCGGCACACUGCAACCUCUGCCUCCCAGGCUCAAGCAUUCUUGUUCCUCAGCCUCCUGAGUAGCUGGAAUUAUAGGCUUGAACCACCACGCCUGGCUAAUUUUUGUAUUUUUAGUUUUGCAAUGUUGGCCAGACUGGUCUUGAACUCCUGACCUCAAGCUCAAGUGAUAUGCCCUCUUUGGCCUCCCAAAGUGCUGGGAUUACAGGCAUGAGCCACCAUGCCCUGCCCAGACAAUUAUUUUGAAUCUUCUUUAACACCAAGACAAAUAGGGCAUAAAGCAUGACUUAAAAUUUUUUAACCUGGAAAUAUUUUAAAGUAGUUGUAACCCGCUAAGCUAUUAAAGACAAACAAACAACAACACAUGUGCAGAAAUUCCAUAAGCACCCAUAUAUUACCUGGCUUUGAGAAAUGUAAUUUACUUUUGUCCUUUCAGAUAAGCCAGCUGCAGAAUAUAUCCUGAGGUACCUGCUUUAUGGAAUUAUUCACACUAUUCACCAACAGGAAGAAUAAAGUCAAUCAAUUCAAGGAGUCUCAGAACAGGAGCACAUAGACACCAAACUUUGUGGGACAACAAAUAUAAUGAAGAGUAUGUUUGCGUCUUUCAAACAAAGCCACGUGAAGUCAAGGCCCUUAACACCCACCCCUCCCACAUACUGAGGGGAGAAUUCAGAUGCCCACUGGAGUCAGCCGAUCAGACUGCCUUUUGCACACUCCUUGCCUCCACUCCAGUUUACCGUGGAAGACCUGUCUGCUAUGGCUGAAUCUGAGAGAGAUCCUUGAGUAACGAAUUAAGGAAUGAACAAAUGUUGCUCUGGACAAAGCUGCAGCUUCCACGUCCUGCAUAACUGCACUCAGUACUGACCCUGAAGAUAGGAAAAGCAAUACAACUGGUGCUAGAAAUGUUAUGAGAAUGACUUGGAUGAGCUGAAAAAUGAAUGAUCUCCUUGAACAAGCUCCUUGGAAACCACAGGGUUGUCAUGGUAGCUGUUAUCAAGGAGAAGGGAGUGAGAAGAUGCUGACAACACCCUGUUUCUCUUCCCUAACGAGGUGUAAGGCCAGAUGCCCCCUUCGUCUACACAGAUUCUACGCUCCCUUAUGCUGCUUGCCUGGAAUUUCGCUUUGCUGCAGAGACAUCUGGAAAUGUGGAUUGAGGGUGGAAAUAAAAUGAAGAUGUCCUGGAAACUUCCAACUGAUCCUUGGGUCUAAUUGGUGUGGGAUAUGCAGCACAAGCGUGAGAAGCCAUGAAGUGAGAGCCCCAACAGGGGCUCAGAGUCAAAAACCUAGAUAUUAGCUCCCAAAGUCCUUCCGAAUCUGCUCCAGCUCCCCACAUCACUCCUAGCUGCCCUUGGCCCUCUC